AAGACCUUGCGCUUUUGGAGCGGCCGAUGCCUGAUUAGCUUGUUGGUGAGGUAAAAGCUCACCAAGGCUUCGAUCAGUAGCUGGUCUGAGAGGACGACCAGCCACACUGGGACUGAGACACGGCCCAGACUCCUACGGGAGGCAGCAGUGGGGAAUUUUGGACAAUGGGGGCAACCCUGAUCCAGCCAUACCGCGUGAGUGAAGAAGGCCUUCGGGUUGUAAAGCUCUUUCAGCCGGAACGAAACGGUCACGGCUAAUACCUGUGACUACUGACGGUACCGGAAGAAGAAGCACCGGCUAACUACGUGCCAGCAGCCGCGGUAAUACGUAGGGUGCGAGCGUUAAUCGGAAUUACUGGGCGUAAAGCGGGCGCAGGUGGUUUUGUAAGUCAGAUGUGAAAUCCCCGGGCUUAACCUGGGAACU
rnacentral:rRNA from 1 species